rnacentral:rRNA from 1 species
UACAGAGGGGGCAAGCGUUGUUCGGAAUUACUGGGCGUAAAGGGCGCGUAGGCGGCCUGUUAAGUCAGACGUGAAAUCCCUCGGCUCAACCGGGGAACUGCGUCUGAUACUGGCGGGCUUGAAUUCGGGAGAGGGAUGUGGAAUUCCAGGUGUAGCGGUGAAAUGCGUAGAUAUCUGGAGGAACACCGGUGGCGAAGGCGGCAUCCUGGACCGACAUUGACGCUGAGGCGCGAAAGCCAGGGGAGCAAACGGGAUUAGAUACCCCGGUAGUCCUGGCCCUAAACGAUGAGUGCUUGGUGUGGCGGGUAUCGAUCCCUGCCGUGCCGAAGCUAACGCAUUAAGCACUCCGCCUGGGGAGUACGGUCGCAAGGCUG